GCCAGGCAUGGUGGAGCAGGCCUGUUAUCCUGGCUAUUAGGGAGGCAAAGAAUGGUGGAUUACUUGAUUUUGGAAAUUCUGAGUUGCACUGGGGUUAAAAAUGAUCAAAUAUCUGCACUGUCUGGCACCAGUAUUGUGAGAUCCCAGGAGUGGGAAGCCACAGGGCUGCCUAAGGAGACCAAACUGUCUUAGGUUGGAAAUAAAGUAGGUCAAUGCUUCCAUGCAGAUCAGCAGUGGGAUUGGUUCCAUGGAUGGUGGUUGUGCUUCCAGGUUCCAUGAAUGGUUUCCAUGACAUAGAGAGACUGUCUC
ensembl:misc_RNA Metazoa_SRP Metazoan signal recognition particle RNA